rnacentral:rRNA from 1 species
AUUGAACGCUGGCGGCAGGCCUAACACAUGCAAGUCGAGCGGAAACGAGUUAUCUGAACCUUCGGGGAACGAUAACGGCGUCGAGCGGCGGACGGGUGAGUAAUGCCUAGGAAAUUGCCCUGAUGUGGGGGAUAACCAUUGGAAACGAUGGCUAAUACCGCAUAAUGCCUACGGGCCAAAGAGGGGGACCUUCGGGCCUCUCGCGUCAGGAUAUGCCUAGGUGGGAUUAGCUAGUUGGUGAGGUAAUGGCUCACCAAGGCGACGAUCCCUAGCUGGUCUGAGAGGAUGAUCAGCCACACUGGAACUGAGACACGGUCCAGACUCCUACGGGAGGCAGCAGUGGGGAAUAUUGCACAAUGGGCGCAAGCCUGAUGCAGCCAUGCCGCGUGUAUGAAGAAGGCCUUCGGGUUGUAAAGUACUUUCAGCGAGGAGGAAAGGGUGUGAGUUAAUACCUUACAUCUGUGACGUUUACUCGCAGAAGAAGCACC